rnacentral:rRNA from 1 species
CCUACGGGUGGCAGCAGUGAGGAAUAUUGGUCAAUGGACGCAAGUCUGAACCAGCCAUGCCGCGUGCAGGAAGACGGCCCUAUGAGUUGUAAACUGCUUUUGUACGAGGGUAAACUCAGAUACGCGUACCUUUCUGUAUGUAUCAUACGAAUAAGGAUCGGCUAACUCCGUGCCAGCAGCCGCGGUAAUACGGAGGAUUCGAGCGUUAUCCGGAUUUAUUGGGUUUAAAGGGUGCGUAGGCGGUCGGAUAAGUUAGAGGUGAAAUCCCGAGGCUCAACUUCGGAAUUGCCUCUGAUACUGUUCGGCUAGAGAGUAGUUGAGGUAGGCGGAAUGUAUGGUGUAGCGGUGAAAUGCUUAGAGAUCAUGCAGAACACCGAUUGCGAAGGCAGCUUACGAAGGUACUACUGACGUUGAGGCACGAAAGCGUGGGGAGCAAACAGGAUUAGAUACCCCAGUAGUC